AUAAGAUGUGGGUUGUGUAACGGAGGAUAUAAUUAGGGAAAAAUAAAUAUGUUUGAGAAUAUAUAGAAGAUAUAGAAAAGGCUAUUGCAUAGCCCCGCGGAGAUAUCUAUAACGAUUGCUUCUCGUUUUACGUGAAAGAGUUAAAGAGAGCGAGCUGAGUAAUUGAGUACUGAGGUAUUUGAUGAAGGAGAACAGGGAGAGUGUGUACCCGAAUAGACCAAGACCAUGGUUCUAUAUUGUAAUAACAAUGGUUUUCGUCUUAACAAUGAAAAACAAUGUAAAAUCUCAAUCCCUUUAAAAAGUUAAAUUAGGGUUUUAUUUUGAAAUUACCAUAAAUAUGGCGAUAACCAUGAAAAAUAUGGUUAAUACAUAAUAUUUCACUGUAUGUAUUACCUAGACAGCUGGGACUUCAAGAUGAGCGUGUACGGUUUGUUGCAUUGAGGAAAAUUUUCAUUCCAAUAGGCGCCAUAUUUAACAUUUGUUAUGGUCGGAACCAGGUUAUUCCGGACAAUUUCAGCUGGAAAUAGCUGAAAGAUUGGAAUCGGAAGGCGACGGCACGGAUUCUGGUGGUAGCGCGAGGCAGAUGGAGAGAACAGAGUAUCACAGAGCUAAGUGCUUGAGACGUGGGCGCAUCAUGGCACAACCCGUGCUUAUUAUUCGCACAUCCGGAGCCUGGGGUUAGAAUGGGAGCCAGAGCCGUUUCCCGAGAAUAAUUCCGCGAGUGGUAGUGAGCCGGUGUGCAGUGCAGAUCAUGAAAAUCAAUCAAAUUAGUGCCAAUUUAGUGUAUCCCAGUGUAUUAAUUUUUUUUUCUAAAAACUCGGAUUAUCAUGUGUAUGUGAAUCAAGUGUUAAAAAUAAAUAAUAAAUGUAUAUAAAUUAACCUA